AAUUAAACUGCGAAGUGGCUUCGAAUCGUUUCAAAUUAUUUGAAAUUUAACGUUCCUUAUCCCUCAAUGAAUACAUAGUCUGAAUUCAUAACAUUAAUAUUAUUUAUUUAUUGUUUUUGCAAUCUUCAAGUGUCGAAGCCAUUGUGAAACGCUAAGUAGUUUAAUGCUGAGAAUGAAAAACAGGCAUCAACAUUACUAGAAGAGAGAAUUAGAAGCAAAUGAUUAGUCUCAAGUUUACGGUAAAGGAAGUCAGUUCGAAGGGAUAGCAAAAUGUCCCGUACCAUCACCGCUAUUACAUUAAAGAGGCUCGACAAAAAGAAGUAAAUAAUUUUAAUGUCAUUAAGAACUUUUCAUGAUGCGUGACUCUAACAAAUAUAUUUAAAUAAUUUGCCGACAUAGAAGAUCGAUGAAAAUAUAUUUGUUACAUAUCUCAGAAUAAUUCUCUCUUCGGCCUGACAAUGGAUGUUCCUAAGUUGAAAUUAUUAUACUAUAUUCAUAAUCUUUAUUAUGACAAACGAAACAGCGGGGAAAAAAAAAA